rnacentral:rRNA from 1 species
AUCCACGGCCACACCACCCUGAAUGCACCCGAUUGACCUCAGAAGCUAAGCAGGGUUGAGCCUGGUUAGUACUCGGAUGGGAGAAAUCAUGAUUUUAAACCAUCACUGGACUGGAAUUCCCUUUGUGGCUC